rnacentral:rRNA from 1 species
UACAGAGGGUGCAAGCGUUACUCGGAAUUACUGGGCGUAAAGCGUGCGUAGUCGGUUAUUUAAGUCGGAUGUGAAAUCCCCGGGCUCAACCUGGGAAUUGCAUUCGAUACUGGAUAGCUAGAGUUCGGCAGAGGGAAGUGGAAUUUCGGGUGUAGCGGUGAAAUGCGCAGAUAUCAGGAAGAACACCCGUGGCUAAGGCGGCUCUCUAGUACGGUACUGACGCUGAGACGCGAAAGCGUGGGGAGCGAACAGG